CACCAAUAAGAGGCAGCAGAAACCCUCAUCUGGACAACCAGGGAGUUGUCAAUUACAAAUUGUGCAGAGUUAACAGAACACUGGUAUGCUGACAGGCUUAUCUUGUCCUGCCAAAGAUCCCAGUGAAACCAGGCACAGAGAAGGAAGCUAACACUGGUAUUACUUGCUUAUAAUAGCUUUUAGCUGCUUUGGAGAAGUGGCACCCAACUGUGUUGCCACAAUAGAUAGGAUGGUCUUAAGUCAGUUACACUUGCCAAAGAAGGUAUUUAUUUCCAGUGCUCAGUGAAUGUGGAGGGGGUUGGCCUGUUGAGUGCCUGCUGCUGUGGCAAUAAUACCUACAGCAGCUUAACCCAGAUCCCACUGCUGAGCCUUGGCCAAAAGCUCCCUUUGAGUGUAUUUAAGGUUCCGUGGUACUGAGCCAGUGCUGCAGUCACCUCUCUUAGCAUAAGCAACUCCACUUCCAACAGUCCUCUUUGUGAGAGCAAACAAUGAACUGGGGUUACCUCUCCAGAAGAGCCCCAAAGAAGUUUUCCAUUGAUUUGGAUUCCCCAAGUCAAGACAGAGAAUUUAUCAGCUCCAUCUGUUUUGGUGGAUGGGACAAUGAAAAGCAUAACUCAGCUGCUGCUCAUGUGAGCAUCUCUCAGGACCUCAAUACCACCAGCUUCCCUCAGCUGAAGGAAAAUCGGUGACCUUAGCAGUGAAGGGAAAAGUUUACUCUUCUCCCCACCUUAAUCAAGUGCUUUGUGCUUCUGAAUUUAAUCUGAUCUUACAGACGUUUCUGCAGCUCGUGUUCUCUCCAUGUCUUUGCUGGAGGCACAACUUUAUUCCAGCUGCUCUCCAGAGAUGUGUGGAUGUAUCCCUGAAACGUGAAGGCUGUGGCUCUGAGAAUUCAUGGGCCACACGGGCUUCUAAUGGGACAGGCAGAAGGCCUGAAGGCUUGGGAGAUGGCAAGAGCAAAUCUCAGGAACGUUUUGUCUUCAUCCCCAUCCCCUUGGUGGAAGAGUUUCCAUUGGCAAAUCCUGAUCUGAUGUGAUUCUGCCAGCAGUUCUCCAGCACUCCAAUGCUCCAUGUAACAGCUGAGGCGUUGCAGUCAGAAAGGAAACCUUAAACUUGGGUUUUCCAUCAUCUUUUUCCUCUCAUCUCCUGAAGAAUCCCUAAGACUCAUACGAUUUUCCAGGCUCUGAGACAGAAGUAAGACUUGUUUGAUUGUUUCUGUGGCAAAUUAAAGGGUUUGUGGCAAAUUAAGGAAUAUCAUCUCUAUCCAACAUGUGCAAAUCCCAAAGAUAACAGUUUAAAUGGUCCCAAUGUAAAUGUCUGUAUCUUCAGGGCUGACUACAGAAGUGACAUAAAAAGGCUUUGGGGCAACAACUGUGCACUUGUUUGUUCUUUUGCCCAGCAGCUGUCACAGUGAGUCUUUCUUCUGUGCUAAAACUUUGUUGUAUUCCACUCUAACAAGUAGUAAAAACAACAGCAGAAGUGGUGGGAAGCUGCAGCUGAAGGGAAACUUAUUCCAGAGCAGUAUUUAAUAGGCUGUGCUUCCAUCUACCCAAUGUGACUGGAACAGAACCAUGCUGUAACUCACCUAAGUGGCCUCUGUCAGCUCAAAUAACAGUCGUAGCUAAGAAAGCUGCACCUUGAAUUUCACCACUGCCACAUGUCUGCCCUUUUCCAAAUCUCAGAAGCAAUUCUGUGCUCGCUGCAGGAUGAAUCCCUACUGAAAAGCAUUGCUCUCGUUUAGGGGACCUCAGAGGAGUGAACGCAGUGAUUUGCUCAGCACACACUGCUCUCAGUUUACUUCUCACUGCCCCUUCCCCAUCUUAUCCCCUUUGUUACCCCCACUCUCACCUGCAGCUCUUUGCACUGGCUUUAUUUCACGCAGCACCUCGCAAAGCAGAGCUGUUCUCACAGCCUCUUGUCAUUACAUCCAAGGAAACCCAAAGAUGGAUGUUUCCUUACCCUGAAGCCCCCAGCUGCUAUCUCUAUAGCACAUAACUCUCACCAACACGGCUCGCAUUUGCAGGAUACAGAAUUGA
ensembl:lncRNA